UACGUAGGGUGCAAGCGUUGUCCGGAAUUAUUGGGCGUAAAGAGCUCGUAGGCGGUCUGUCGCGUCGGCUGUGAAAACCCGGGGCUCAACCCCGGGCCUGCAGUCGAUACGGGCAGACUAGAGUGCGGUAGGGGAGACUGGAAUUCCUGGUGUAGCGGUGAAAUGCGCAGAUAUCAGGAGGAACACCGGUGGCGAAGGCGGCUCACUGGCUCAUUACUGACGCUCAGGCGCGACAGCGUGGGGAUCAAACAGG
rnacentral:rRNA from 1 species